AUUCUCCUCCCCACCUCUAGUUGGUUGAGCUUGAGCCUCAGAUGCUGUCCUGGCCCUGGGCAGCUGGGGAGCCCCUGCAGCCUUCCAGCGGUCCCUUUGUGCCGAGCGCAGGCUCUUCAGUGGUGCUUCAGUUUAGAUUCAGCUGUAGAUUUGCGGGUAGUCCGUCCGCACGUUUUGUGGUUUUCCCUCUGUGGUUUCUUUAUCAGGCGGGCUUUCCCUCGCAUUCUGGUUGCUCUGGCAGGCCCGGACCCCAGCCCCUGCAGUGCAGGAAGGUGCGCCAUCUGUGGUUAAAUGCGCGUCUUACCUGCAGGCUUCUCAGGGUCAGGGGUUGUACUCGUUUUAUUGCUGAUUGCGUCAGCUGUUCUCCAGUGCCCUCAAGCAGUUUUAAAAAAUAUUUUAUCCAGAGUUCAUGAUUAUUAUCAGCCAAAGGUUAGUCCAGUGCAUCCUAACUCUCAAUUAUCAGAACCAGAACUCUUGGCGCAAUCUGGCUCUGAAUUUUAAACUUUUAGGAUGAAACCUGUCACUUCCAAGUUACCCAGACUUCGCUGCAAAACCCUAGGCUUUGAUACUUCCUGAGCACCGGGGGGCUCCGCAGUGUCCUUGGUUUCUUCCUGAUUCCUUCCUCACAUGCUCCGUUUAACAAAAUAGCAAGUCAGUCUAUGAGAGCAGCUGGGGAGGAGGACCAGGGAGUUGCAACAGAUCGGGGAAGUGCUAUUUGUGCUGUAGGUGGGGAGUUCCCAGCUGCAGAGACUGGCAGUUUAGAUGUUCACUGAUUCAUUGCAGUGUGUUUCCCAACUAAUACUCUUUUAUUUCUCUUACUUUUUAAUACCUUGUUUAACCUCACUGUGGUUAUUUAACCCUUCAAUAGUUGAGGGUUGUUUUAAUGGUACAUGAGAGUCCUGUGUCAUUUCUGGCCUGUCUAAAACACAGGUGCCUGUGGCCCCCACCACAGUGCCUGGUUAAGGCAGGGGAAAUGCCUUUCUCCCUGCUCCUUCAAGCCCCUGUGACUGCUCGCUUGGGGCUGUAAUGAAGUUUUCCUUAAUGGACAUUGAUACUUGGCUAAUUUAGUAGGCUCUCUGUCUGCUGAAACAGGCAAGUUAUUUUACCCCCACGUAUUUUCUCUGCAUUAAACCGUGAAACUUGGCUUUGUCAUUUUCUAACAUGUUUUAGGAACUCAUUGAAAAACACACAUGUGAAUGCGGGCUUUCUAGACUUGCGUACUGCGGUUCACAGUAGAAGGCCAUCACCCCCGUGUUCCUAGACUGUGUAAGCUAGCUGAGGGCACUUCCCAAACCUCCCAGGACCCUCUUGUCUGCCCAGGCUGCUGCACUGGCCGUGUGCCAGUGCUUGGCUGUGGAGUCCACUCACCCUUCGAGCCCAGGAUUUGAAGACUGCAGCUCCAGUGAGGCCACCACGCCUGUCGCCGUGCAGCACAUCCGCCCUGCCAGAGUGAAGAGGCGCAAGCAGUCGCCCGUUCCUGCUCUGCCGAUCGUGGUGCAGCUCAUGGAGAUGGGAUUUUCCAGAAGGAACAUCGAGUUUGCCCUGAAGUCUCUCACUGGUGCUUCCGGGAAUGCAUCCGGCUUGCCUGGUGUGGAAGCCUUGGUCGGGUGGCUGCUGGACCACUCCGACAUACAGGUCACGGAGCUCUCAGAUGCAGACACAGUGUCCGACGAGUAUUCUGAUGAGGAGGUGGUGGAGGACAUGGAUGAUGCCGCCUACUCCAUGUCUACUGGUGCUGUUGUGACGGAGAGCCAGACGUACAAAAAACGAGCUGAUUUCUUGAGUAAUGAUGAUUAUGCUGUAUAUGUGAGAGAGAAUAUUCAGGUGGGAAUGAUGGUUAGAUGCUGCCGAGCGUAUGAAGAAGUGUGCGAAGGUGAUGUUGGCAAAGUCAUCAAGCUGGACAGAGAUGGAUUGCAUGAUCUCAAUGUGCAGUGUGACUGGCAGCAGAAAGGGGGCACCUACUGGGUUAGGUACAUUCAUGUGGAACUUAUAGGCUAUCCUCCACCAAGUUCUUCUUCUCACAUCAAGAUUGGUGAUAAAGUGCGGGUCAAAGCCUCUGUCACCACACCAAAAUACAAAUGGGGAUCUGUGACUCAUCAGAGUGUGGGGGUUGUGAAAGCUUUCAGUGCCAAUGGAAAAGAUAUCAUUGUCGACUUUCCCCAGCAGUCUCACUGGACUGGGUUGCUAUCAGAAAUGGAAUUGGUACCCAGUAUUCAUCCUGGGGUUACGUGUGAUGGAUGUCAGAUGUUUCCUAUCAAUGGAUCCAGAUUCAAAUGCAGAAACUGUGAUGACUUUGAUUUUUGUGAAACGUGUUUCAAGACCAAAAAACACAAUACCAGGCAUACAUUUGGCAGAAUAAAUGAACCAGGUCAGUCUGCGGUAUUUUGUGGCCGUUCUGGAAAACAGCUGAAGCGUUGCCACAGCAGCCAGCCAGGCAUGCUGCUGGACAGCUGGUCCCGCAUGGUGAAGAGCCUGAAUGUGUCGUCCUCCGUGAACCAGGCAUCCCGUCUCAUUGACGGCAGCGAGCCCUGCUGGCAGUCAUCGGGGUCGCAAGGAAAGCACUGGAUUCGUUUGGAGAUUUUCCCAGAUGUUCUUGUUCAUAGAUUAAAAAUGAUCGUAGAUCCUGCUGACAGUAGCUACAUGCCGUCCCUGGUUGUAGUGUCAGGUGGAAAUUCCCUGAAUAACCUUAUUGAACUAAGGACAAUCAAUAUUAACCCUUCUGACACCACAGUGCCCCUUCUGAAUGACUGCACAGAGGUAAGUAGCUAUGCUAGUGUUCCAUUUGGAUGAUUUACAGAUGACAAGGUAGGUGACUUGGCCAUUUCUAUACUAGCAUUGAGCCCAGUUUUUCCCCGUUUAAAUAAUUGGUUCUAUCUGUUUUAAAUUUUGACACUUUAAAAGAUACAACUUAUUUUGUACAACUGAAUUUGCUGCUUAUCAGUUCAGCUUGAAAAGGAAACAAAUUUCAUUCUCACUCUCUUUGGUAGCAGAGGUAUACUUGGUAACUGCUCCUAGCAAAAGUUGUCAUCAGGCAUUUUAGGUUGCUGAUUGCAUCUGAACACUUCGGUUUUCAUUAAAUAUCUCAGUUUCUGGUGGUUUUCCUGACCAUAUAUGUGACGCUGAAGUUGCUUUUUUGUCAUCACACCUGUUGGCAUCAAGUGCUGAACUUGUCACAGAGUGGCAAUUUUUUGGUUAAUAAGGCGGCUUUCAAAAUGAGUCUAAGUUUAUCUCUGGAAAAGUUUGAAAGAAUCAGUGAAGGUUCUUUUAAACAGUACCCACAUACUACAGAUCAGCAAUUCUCUCUCUCUCUCAAAUUUUCAGUAAACCUUUCCACAUAGGAUGUCAGCAUGAUUUUUAAUACAUUAAAUAUAUGUAAAAUAAGACAAAUUAAGAUACUUUUGUUGGCCGGGCGCGGUGGCUCACGCCUGUAAUCCCAGCACUCUGGGAGGCUGAGGCGGGCAGAUCACGAGCUCAGGAGAUCAAGACCAUCCUGGCUAACACAGUUAAACCCCGUCUCUACU
rnacentral:sRNA from 1 species